GGGGAAUUGUUCGCAAUGGGCGCAAGCCUGACGACGCAACGCCGCGUGGAGGAUGAAGGUCUUCGGAUUGUAAACUCCUGUUGCCCGGGACGAAUGGCUCCAACCUACUACGUUGGAGUGUGACGGUACCGGGUGAGGAAGCCCCGGCUAACUCCGUGCCAGCAGCCGCGGUAAUACAGGGGGGGCAAGCGUUGUUCGGAAUUACUGGGCGUAAAGGGCUCGUAGGCGGCCAACUAAGUCCGACGUGAAAUCCCCAGGCUUAACCUGGGAACUGCGUCGGAUACUGGUUGGCUUGAAUUCGGGAGAGGGAUGCAGAAUUCCAGGUGUAGCGGUGAAAUGCGUAGAUAUCUGGAGGAAUACCGGUGGCGAAGGCGGCAUCCUGGACCGACAUUGACGCUGAUGAGCGAAAGCUAGGGGAGCAAAC
rnacentral:rRNA from 1 species